UGGGAAGGUUAAAAACUAACAAGGUUUUCCGGUUGUGAACCAGCGGAGGGAUCAUUA
rnacentral:rRNA from 1 species